GCUCCCUGCCUGCUUUCUGCCAACUGAGGCACAUUCCAGGGAGGAGCUAGCCGGCGAAGGCUUGUCGUCUGGCGGGGGUGCCGACAGAGAUGGAUGACGCGGUCCCUGCCAGAGAAGGUCCACGUUCAGACACUCCCAGAUAGCUGGCUGCCACUUUAUUAACAGCAAAUACUCCCAUCUGAACCAAGCUGGGAAAGAAAAUAUUUAUGCUUGCCUGCCAGAAGGACCUUCAUUUUUCUUCUGGGGAAGCCAGUCAGGGUGCUAGGAUGGGGCUGAAGGAGGUGGCAUGUCUGUGCGGCUGUUCCAGACUCUUCUGCGGCACGGGGCUGAAGUGGACUCCAAAAGAUCCUCGGGACAGCUCUGAACCCUCCCACAGGCUUCAGGCGAGAUAAGAACACUGACAACAAACACAACUUGCCCAGGAAAUUUUGAUUCAACC
rnacentral:lncRNA from 1 species